AGACGUCUACAUUAGAUACCCGCGUAGUCCCAGCCGUAAACUAUGCGCGUUAGGUGUAUCGGUGACCACGAGUCACCGAGGUGCCGAAGGGAAACCGUGAAACGUGCCGCCUGGGAAGUACGGUCGCAAGGCUGAACUUAAGGAAUUGGCGGGGGAGCACAACAACGGGUGGAGCCUGCGGUUUAAUUGGACUCAACGCCGGACAACUCACCGGGAACGACAGCAAUAUGUAGGCCAGGCUGAAGACCUUGCCUGAAUCGCUG
rnacentral:rRNA from 1 species